GACGAACGCUGGCGGCGUGCCUAACACAUGCAAGUCGAGCGGAGUCGAUCGACGGAAGCCUUCGGGCGGAAGAUGGUUGACUUAGCGGCGGAUGGGUGAGUAACGCGUGGGCAACCUGCCUCGAAGACCGGGAUAACAGCCCGAAAGGGCUGCUAAUACCGGAUGUGGUCAAGGAUCCGCAUGGAUUUUUGAUUAAAGGGGAAACCCGUUUCGAGAUGGGCCCGGUCCUAUCAGCUAGUUGGUGAGGUAAAAGCUCACCAAGGCGACGACGGGUAGCCGGCCUGAGAGGGUGACCGGCCACACUGGAACUGAGACACGGUCCAGACUCCUACGGGGGCAGGCAGUGGGGAAUCUUCCGACAAUGGGCGAAAGCCUGAUGGAGCGACGCCGCGUGAGCGAAGAAGGCCUUCGGGUUGUAAAGCUCUGUCUGGAGGGACGAAGGAAGUGACGGUACCUCCGGAGGAAGCCACGGCUAACUACGUGC
rnacentral:rRNA from 1 species